GAAGCUCCGUGAACGCUGGGGCGGGGGGUGCAGCUUAUAAGGGCUCAGGGGAACCUGGUGCUCUGGGGUCCCUUAGCGUCACUAGAGAACAGCUACUGCUGCCAACUUUAAGGUGUGCGUGAAGGUAGACUUGGCUGAACUUUCCUAACCGGGAGACUGGUGACUGUGACCUACGGUACCUGUAGGAGUAAAGCAAAUGAACUCCAGAUGCAGGCUUGUAUGGAAUGAAGCGGAUGGGAUUAAAACAUAUAUAAAUGGAGUCUGACGACUUUAAUUGUAUAUGCUUGUUUUUUGGUCUUCCCUACGUAAAAACAAUAAAGUAGUCUCGGAGUCGUUAUGAAAUUUACUCAGAUUUCUCGCUUAACUAGGAAGAAGACUGUGAAAUAUGUAUUUCCGAUAAGAUUAAACUUAAAGGAGUUUGAGUAUUUAUUGACUAAAAUAGAUUACUCCAAAGUGUCUGUUGUGUAAAUUAGAUUCCUGAAUGUAAUGAACACAGCCGAAUGGCAUUUUUGAUAAAUUGGUCUACCCUGUUUUAGUAAAAAUAGCUCCCUUUUACCAUAAUUUAAUUUCUGUGCUUACUGUAAAACCCGUUGUGGAGUUUUAAAAGACAAAUCUUAAUUUUUUCUUUUCUUGCCUUAGUAAGUGUGACAUCCUAGCUUAGUAUCAAUGAAGUUUCUUUUUUAAACAUCCUGGCCAAACUGCCUGGGAAAUAGAUUUGGUGUCUAGAGAGUUAUUAGAUUUUGUGAACUCUCUGGACCCACUCCCUCUCUUGCCAGUGAUUAGCUGCAUCAUCUGGGAUCAUGGGGACAUUUAACUGUGUGGCUCUAAGGCUAGAGUGAGAGUUUCCUUCUCAGUGUGCUUGAAUGAACUUUAAUAUGUUGAUUUAAAAAAAAAAAUUCUUUAUCUGAGUAUCAUUCUCUUUCUUGCGCAUCCAGUGCCUUUUGGUGGUAGAUAAUAAUUUGGCCUUGCGUGAUUUCCAAUUGCCGCUUUGUCGCAUGUUUGAAAACUUCAAUUGAACGUGGAAUGCCAGAGUGGAAGUGUAAGCCUAAACUGGUUCUUUCCUGGGCCCUGAAGAGGCCUUUUGAGUUAUCUGGUUUAGGGUCAUCUCUGUUCCCACCAAUGCUAUUUAAAGAGGAGCCCUGCAGCCUUUCACUAUGCCCCACCGCUGUUUACCGGGAUGUUCCAGUCAUGCCGUCUCAGAAACUGGGUGCCUGGAUACCCAAGAGAAUGGAGCAUUUGCAGAUGAUGGAGUGAAAAAGAAACUGUAAUGGCGUAAUUAGACAAGCCGUUUAAUUUCUGUGUUAUGUAACAUUUAUAACAAAGAAGUUGUGAAUUCAUUUGUGACUUUUGAUUUAAUAAACACUUACUGACCUGAGUAUUUGGGUACAUUUUGUUACAUCCUAAUACUGAUUUAGAAUUCAGAAAGAAAUCACUUUCCUUAAAAGUUCUCCAUUUAGAGAUACAAGCUUAAAUAGUAACCCCCCCUCCAAAAAAAAAAAAAAAAUUAACUCUGUUAGGGGGAUAUUUAUUAAGAUAUUAAUGGCGGGGCCUUCUGAAUUAUCUUUUUUCCCAUUUGAGUUUCCAAGCUAUGUUCCUGAAAACCAGAAGACAGCCCUGGUUUUGCUAUCUGGUUAAGAACCGAGCUUUGGUUUGUGCGUAGAUAUGACUGUGAGUAUGUUGGAUUUUACUUAAGAUGACAACUAAGAUUUUAUUGAGCUGUUGGCCCUGUCCUGGCUUUGGAUUUGCUGCGCCUUAAUCCAUUCCUCUUUUAAGCUGUAUUCUGAGAAAGUUGUUAGAGGGGAGCAGUCUGGCUGGAAGGGAAGAGUCCCUGCCAGAAGCUAAUAGGGCUUGAGAGCGAACCUGUGGUGCUGCUCGCAUUUACUCCAUGCCUCAAGCAGCUUUGAAACACCUGGGCUAAUGCACCUGGGUGGUGACUUAAAGAUUUUUUAAAGUCUUGUGCUACUCUGUUCACAAAACAUGACAGUUAAAAUACCUAAUGAGGGCAAGCAACUCUUUCUGAAAGACAUCUAAUUUGUUGCAAAACCUAUCAACAGCUUUUCCUUUAAAAAGUAAACAACUCUAAUAAAAAUAAUUUUAAUUCUUACUGUAAUUAUAGGAUAAUAUUAGGCACAUAUGUUGUACACACAAUAAAUGCUUGUUAAUUUCUUAAUUUUAAUCUGAAAUCUUUAUCCUCUUUUAUGUUUAUGAGAGCCCUGGGCUAGGGGCAGCCCAGGAAGCUACUGUGACCACAGGGUUGCCAGACUCUGGCGUGGAUCCACCCACGGGGGUCUUCUAAGAGGAAGCUGCCCGUUCUUCCCCACGUUGUUCCCAGCUAACACAAUCAGACAGUUGACUAGAAAGGAGCUGGGUUGGGAGUAUUCCUCCUCGGGACAUACCUAACACUACAGAGCAACUGAAAAAAUAGUCAGGUAGGAGAUUCACCUUAAAUGAAACUGACUAGAUCCUGCUACCUGUCAAUGAAGCAUUUGUGAAAAUGAGUUGGAAUUGCAACAAAACGGCCCACACUUUUCUGAAACAGAAGAGGCUGUGGGAAUGGACAGGGCCCACUGGGUGUUGCACAUGGCAGAUGCUCCAUCAGUUGACAGUUGAAAUCCUGGAUGCUUUUGAUUGUGAUUUAUGAAGUUAACGUAGGAGGAAGUUACCAGAGCUUACCCCGAAACUCCAGGGAAGUAGCUUCUUUUUCCUUAGUAUUCCUCUUACAGUGGCAUGGAGCCUGCUUUCUUAAAGACACCUUUCUGUUAGGCUGUGUUUAUUCAAUAAGUAGAUGCAGUUAACAUUUCUCAGAAAAAUUUUUAUAUAUGGUUGUGAGGUGUUCUGAGCUUCGUUGGGGAAAAACAAAUUGACAAAUUAGCUCUUAAGUUGAGCAUUGCAAACUUGCGAGAAAUAGAAUGUCAUUCUUACUGUCAUUGAAAAUUUAUUUGGGUGUUGACAGCCUUUCGUUAAUGUAAGACAUUGAGAUCCUGUCCACCAGGUUUUAUUAAAAAAAAAAAAAAAUUCAAAAGCUGCUUCCCAUUU